CCUGGUGGCUCAGGUGGUAAAGUGUCUGCCUAUAAUGCAGAAGACCUGGGUUCAAUCCCUGGGUCAGGA
rnacentral:tRNA from 1 species